CCUGAAUCCUAAGGACAUGCUGUGUCG
rnacentral:piRNA from 1 species